UUUUUGGGCGAGCUUCCAACGGGAUUUCUUGACGAGCUUCCGGCGAAUUUUUCUUGUAAGUUUGUCGCCUCCUUAUAUCUAGUUAUAGGAAUAUUUUAGGAAAGUUUCUAGUUUAGGAAAUACGUUAUUUUAGGAAGGUUACUAUUUUAGAAAAGUUUCUAUUUUAGGAAAGUUUCUAUUUAGAGGAAGUUACUAUUUUUAGAAA
rnacentral:lncRNA from 1 species